UCUGUGUAAAAUAGUUUUAUUCAAAGAUAUCACAUAUUUUGCAUUACUUUCAUACAAUAUUGAUACAAUAAACAGCUUUACUGAAACAAAAGUAUGAAAUAUAUUUGCCUCGAAUUUCCAUUGGAAAAAAAUAAAGAGACAAUUCAUUUUGAUUUUAUUAUAAGGAAGUAUUUUGUUGGAUAAAUAAAAAAAAAGUGUCAGCUCUUAAUAACAGCUUUAAAACAACUGAAAUAAGGUAAUUAAAGCAAAUAUUCUAUUCUCAAAUUAUAAAACUUUGCAACAGUUGAGAUCAACUCAAUUAUAUCAAAUCAAUUUACAAAUUUUCCAGCUUCAACUGGACCCUUAACAACAUUAAUUGUCUGCCAUUACAUGUACUAUACAUUGGAAAAUUUGCCAAUUUAAGUACUUUGUCAUUUGAGCUGAAAAGCUUUAAUCUAAGAAAAUUAAUCUGUCCCUUGAAUACUAUGAACUAAUAUAUAACUAAAAAAGAUGUUUUGCUAAUAGAAGUACUGAUAAUAGGUAACUUAUAAUUUAUGAUUAUGUAGAUUGACAUAUUUUUAUGGGUACCAAUUUUCAUGGAUUGAAGAAAAAUUGUACCUCUUUAGAUACUUGAUUUUAAGGUAUGAACAAAUUCUAUAUGCAACCAAUUAGGAAAUUUAUAUUAUGUUGAAAUGUUAAUUAGACAUUUGUCUAUAGGCACCAAAUUGAAGACAAAUUAGUAUACAGAAUGAGGCAAACCAUUACACCCAUCUUAUUAAACCCAAGAAUCAAUUAGAAACAGAGACUACUAUUGUUCACAUACUUUAACAUGGUAACACUAAAUGCCCAUACAUACAAUAUGAGCUUCAUAGGACAGAAAUCAACCUUGUGCAAAUGAAUAUAUACAUGUACAUGUAUAGUGGGUCUCAUUGGGGUUUAAGCGUGACGCGGGAUUGCCGAUUUUUUUGUAAGUAAGCAUGACACGUGAAAGUCAAAUUAUGGUGGCGUGAAAACGGGAAAUGAGGUCUUGCAGGACCCGGGAAAUGAUAUAGUGUAAGCGGGAUACGGGAGUCUCACAAAACAGUAAACGUGAUCCAGGAUCGGAACCCCCCCAAUGAGACCCCCUGUAUAAGUCUUUGAUUGAUUUUGGAACAUUGAAAUAUGAAAUGAAAGAUAAAUUUUGGUCUCUUUUAAAGGUUUUUUUAAUAAGCAACUGAAUUUUUUAACAGUUUAGAGAUUUUUUCAACCCCAGUUAGUAUAUAAGAUGUAUUAUAAUUCAUUUGUAUUAAGUCGAUUUCUAUCUGAUGCAACUCAUAUGAUAAAUAAUAAAUAAAUAGCACAGACUUAUACACCAAAAUGCAUGCAUAAACAGUCUCUUAAACAUUUACACUUACAUUCAAUUUCACAUGUAAUUUUGGUAUAUAAAUAAAUACAGAUCUUCAGAAAACAUCAAUUUAAA
rnacentral:lncRNA from 1 species